UAAUCACAUUGAGGCAUCUCUCACCACAAGCACUGUCAGGGUCUCCAAAAUCAAACUUGCAUUCACAGAUAGAGAUAUCUUCCUCCUUUGAUUGUGGCUCUGUAUCACGUGUUCAUCCUCUCAGAUUAAACGGCGAUGGUGACUAUUUUAUGAUUCAGUCAUAAUUUCAGAAACUUUGUGUUUCCCCCCCAAAAAAAGAAAGAAACUUUUUGAAAUAUUUUUCCUAUUCAAUGAUAUGUCUUUAUGUUUGUGAUCUUCAAUCAUGACCGAUGAUUUUAACGGCCUCUCCCCUGAUAUUGAUGAUCCUCUUUAGAAAGCUCACAAAACCUGAUCUUCCACAAUCCAAUCGACAAACCAAAUCAGAAUAUCAAAAGAUCUACAUUCAACCUAGCUUCGGAGCUGACAAGAAGGUGGAUAAUAACUAGCAGUGGCUGUCGACUAAAGGUGCAUCACUCGGUUGAUACAAUGCGAGUUGCAAGAAAAGUUUCACGUUAAAUGUGCAAAACUGAUGCCAAAAUGCAGAUGGGACCAUGGAUCAAUGCAUGUCUGAAAAACAUAGAAUGUGUAACCGAGCUACAUGAGAUUUCCAUAGAUGAUCAUGGAACACGACAAGGACCUUAUAUUGGAAGACAUAGCCUUGAACAAGCUUGCUUACAAAGGAUAUCUUCAAGAUAUAGUAGCAGGAGGAACAAUGGAGGCGAUCCAUUUCUAAUGAUGACUUGAACGGUUAUAGUGUGUAGUUUUGAGCCAAGCAAGAAGAAAACUCUGACACAAAGACGAAUUGAUGUUGAAGUCUUGGAGAGCAGGAGCAAGAACUGCAAACAGUUCAUGGGUCUUGGAUUCUAUUGCAGAUUGCCAAAUUCUAGACUUGAUAUAAUAAAUUUGUGAGAUUACAUCUUUGGGUAUUUUGUUUUAGUAAUUUCAUUUGUUUCCUUGCCGUUAA